AUACGUAGGAUGCAAGCGUUGUCCGGAAUUACUGGGCGUAAAGGGUCCGUAGGCGGUUUGUUAAGUCUCCUGUGAAAGUUCAGGGCUCAACCCUGAAAUGUCGGGGGAUACUGGCAAACUUGAGACUGUCAGAGGCAAGUGGAAUUCCCGGUGUAGUGGUGAAAUGCGUAGAUAUCGGGAGGAACACCAGUGGCGAAAGCGGCUUGCUGGGACAGUUCUGACGCUGAGGGACGAAAGCGUGGGUAGCAAACCGGAUUAGAUACCCGAGUAGUCC
rnacentral:rRNA from 1 species